GCCCACUGUUGAUCAAGAUAUUAAAGAAUUCCUGUAUUAACGUAGAACUCAACAAGGACCAGCUUUGUUGGCACCUCUUUCUAUCACAGGGAUGAUCUGUGCAGUAUUUUUAGGCAGAUCUCUUGCGUGAUGGUACCAACAUCUUCAAAGACUCCAUCUUUUUAUCUCCUCUCAGGGGUACCAAAACCACACCAGCUCUUCUAUAUGUGUUCAGAUGGGCACACUUAGAAAAGUAGAUAAGCAAAUCCAUUCAAUAAUCUGAGCUCUUCAUUUCCAAAAUACUGGUACCAAGAUAGAAAAUAUAAGGAUACACAGGGAGGCACUUUUCUCUGUGUCUUUCAUGAAAACACACUUACUCUAGAAAUUCAGUAUAUAAGGACUACAGACCACUAUUCCCAAAGAGCAAGCAUGUCAUAAUGGAAAAUAUACACCAGAAAUUUAGUAUUAAAUCUACUUUUAUUAAAUAUAGUUAAAUUAGCUACAGCUUCUCAGUAUCAAAUUUUAGUAUUAUGUGCAGUAUUACAUUAAAAAAAUUAAUCCAAGUAGACAAUUCCUACUACAGAGUUAUGCUCACAUUUCCCACUUAUAUUUGUGGGACUUGCAGAAAUCCAAGAAUGGUGGUUUUGGGUUUACUAACAAAAUGUCACAAUUAAACAUAUCCAGGAGGUCAGGUAAGACUGCCUGUAACCUUAUAGUAUUUAUAUUAAUAGUAACAUUCUCAGAACAGCAUGAUUAAUUCACUGAUCAUAUCACCUGCCCAUCCAUCUAGGCCAGGUAAAUGCCAAAACCAAAAAAAGAUUGUUACUUUUUGCAGUGCACCUGUUCUUAACACAUGAUGAGACGAUUGUGAAGACAGUGAUGGAACAUACAUCAAAAACUUGUUGCUUCAUGCUCUGUGACACAUUUGCUGUACCAGGAAUGAAACAGAGAGAGGAAUUUGGUUGCCGGAAUUAUGAAAUCCAGAACCUGGUUCUAUAACCUGCUGAUCAUAUGGACUUCUGUUGUCAUUUGGAUGUGAUUACAUAUUCACUGUCUUAAUUAACAGUUAUGGAUGUUGCAUGACAUGGUAUUAAAACCCUAUCUGAAAAUAAAAUGAGUACUGACAUGUCGA